AGCAAAAGCAUAUCUGUAUUGAGCCUUGAUAUCAAAGCAAAUAAUCUGUAGAAGUUUGAUAUUUCCUGUGGCUAUUAUCUCAGACUAGUGUUUGACUUGAGGUGCAAAGAAAUGUUUAUUUUUGUUCUUAUACACUGAGAGGAUAUCAGUAUUACAUAUUUUGAACCUUUCUGGCUUAAAAUCGGGACAGCAUUUGAGGAGGCUAGGAGCUGGCACAUAAAAGUGGAAGUUGUGUGGGAUUUAUGAUCUAGAUGUAUCUCCCAGCUUCUAUUACGCAGUCUGGUCUAAGAAUUGAUAGUUUUGAGGUGUGCUGUUAACUUUUUUAUGAGCCAUGUUUUUUGAAUUGAAAAGGGAUGGGAUAGGAUUUAAAGACCAAGUAUAUCUUUCUCCUGAAAAUCUAAAGCUGUCAUCUACUCUUUUGAAGCAGAGCCUGGUUAGUAUUUUAAUCUUUGGUAAUGCUUCCUUUGCUUCCUUGACUACAGUUGCAUUUUUAGAAAGUGAUGUUUAAUCACCAGUGUUUUCCCAUCUCUUUACUAGGUUGUGCGCUCAGCAGCAACAAGUGGAGCUGGAAGCACUACCUCUGGUGUUGUAUCUGGCAGUCUAGGCUCUCGAGAGAUCAACUAUAUCCUUCGAGUCCUUGGGCCAGCCGCAUGCCGUAAUCCAGACAUAUUCACUGAAGUGGCAAACUGCUGUAUCCGCAUUGCUCUUCCAGCCCCUCGAGGUUCAGGAACUGCUUCAGAUGAUGAAUUUGAGAAUCUUAGGAUUAAAGGCCCUAAUGCUGUACAGCUGGUGAAAACAACCCCUUUGAAGCCUUCAUCUCUGCCUGUCAUUCCCGAUACUAUCAAGGAAGUGAUCUAUGAUAUGCUGAAUGCUCUGGCUGCAUACCAUGCCCCAGAGGAAGCAGACAAAUCAGAUCCUAAACCUGGGGGCAUGACCCAGGAAGUUGGCCAGCUCCUGCAAGACAUGGGUGAUGAUGUAUACCAGCAGUACCGGUCACUUACUCGUCAUAGCAGUGACUUUGAUACACAGUCAAGUUUUUCCUUAAAUGUAAGUCAAUUCUAACAUUUCUGUCUUCUCUUUCCGUUGCUUAUGUCGUCUCUGUAUUUAGUGUUAUGCUGUUGCAAUUUUUUUUUCUUAAAUUCUUUUAUUGGUACAUUUUAGGUAUACAAUACAUUUACAUUUACCUUUAGGUGCUUGUACCUGUACAUGAUGUAUCUUGGUUCUCAUAUUUUCCCCAUUACCUGUGCGCACUUCUCCCCUAAACCCUUCCCUAUUUACAUACUUCGUUUCCUUUUU
rnacentral:lncRNA from 1 species